rnacentral:tRNA from 1 species
GAGGUUGUGGCUCAGUGGUAGAGUGCUUGCCUAGCACGUGUGAGGCCCUGGGUUCAAUCCUCAGCACCACA